UACGUAGGUGGCAAGCGUUGUCCGGAUUUACUGGGCGUAAAGAGCGCGCAGGCGGUCGUUCAAGUCGCGUGUGAAAGCCCCCGGCUCAACUGGGGAGGGUCACGCGAUACUGAUCGACUCGAAGGCAGGAGAGGGAAGUGGAAUUCCCGGUGUAGUGGUGAAAUGCGUAGAUAUCGGGAGGAACACCGGUGGCGAAGGCGGGUCUCUGGGCCGAAACUGACGCUGAGGAGCGAAAGCGUGGGGAGCAAACAGG
rnacentral:rRNA from 1 species